UACAUUAUAAAGUCACUGCUGAGGUAAGCUUGGAGCUGACCUGCCUGAAUUAAUAUAUUAUUAUGUGUUCUGAAGUAGCUGUGGUUAAAGAAUCAGUAGGACUUAAUGGUUAUAAUGUGGAGCAUCUUAACAAUAAAUAUAAAAAUUAUAAAGCUGUAAAAUUGGCGUGUAAAUGGUCACUUACCAUUAGAAAUUAUUCUGCCUGCUUGGCCUGUCAAUUAUCAUCUGGUUUAUGUGGCAUUCUAAGUGGCCAUUGGACAUUUCUCUUUAUGGUGUGGAAUCCAUCUAUUAUGUUUGUAGCUUCUUUUUUCAUUUACAAGGGAAACUUGUAUCUCAAACUGAAUUCUAUUGGAUUAUAGCGACUAUAAGAAGUAUGCCAUUUUUCGCACUAUGUUGACAUUAACAUUAUUGACUGGACUAUGUAAAUGCUUAUUAGUCCAAAUGACUGUACAAAAUUGACUAGUGAGGGGAAGGGGGGGAAAAAGUUACAGGGUUAAUAGAAUAUUAAUUAUCCAUGAACACACACACACACACAUACACACGCACGCACACUACUCCUUUCUUUAAGUCUUGUUUGAAACUAUGGCUUCUGCAAGCUCCUUCAACAAGUGGGAAAUGCAGCUACACAUUUGGUUUUUGAUUUAAAAAUAAAAAAAAGGCUCUUUUGUUACUUCCACAGUUUGAUAAUGCGCUAAUGUCAAAAUUAAAAUAAUUAAUUUCUCUUUAAUUACUUUGUUUUUCUCUUUUUUAAAAUGUAUCAUACUAACUAAAAUUCUGUCCUUUUCUAUUUUUAUUUUACAAUGCUUGUUGUUUAUCUUUAUUUUUUACUUUGGGAGAUUUGUUUCAUUUUACGCCCUUAGAUUAGAGAAAUGGUGGAAUCUUGCAUUUGAGCUUUAUAUUUUGCUUUUCUUGCUUACUCUACCUUUGCAACUGAAUUUAGCAUUUUAUGUUUGUAUGCUAUGCAAUGAGUUAACCUCAGGUUUUGUGUGGAAAAAUUAGAGGAACAUAAUGCAUGGAGAGGCUUUCAUUGUAGGUCAUGGAAUUUAAGUGUUGGGAUUUAUCGUCCUCGUGGUCGCUAUUAUAGAUAACAUGGAAACAGAUGUAAAUUGAGGGUUUUUGAAAAGGAAGAAUGGAAGAGACUAUCUGGAAUUGAUCAAUGAGAAGUGGUUGCAACUAGAUCUGUCCAUAGACUGGUUCAAAAUCAGAACCGAAUCCAAACCAUACCGGUUCAAACCGGAACAGGAACGGGUCAAAACUGGAUAGACCAAAACUGUUAUUGAACUGGACCAGAAUCGGCUGUUUCAGUUUAGGUUCUGGGCCAAACUAGAUUUUUUCCUUUAAAAAAAAUAUAAAAAUUUUCAAUGGCUAGAUUUGAUCAGAACUGGAAUUGGGUCGAAACCAAACUGAAAUUGGGGAACCAUGAAGGGCCAGUUCUAGUCCCCUGAACCUUGGCCCAGAACCGGCCCUAACCAGCCCUAGUUGCUAUAGUUAUUUUCUGGAUUAAAGGAAAUCUUUGUUUUUAUCAUAGAGUUUUUUGCAAAUUUUGUGGAUGAUCUUUACUAUGUAUGGGAUUUAAAAAUGGUUUUUUUUUUUUAAUUUAAAAUUGUGGGUGUGCGAGAUAUGUAUCUGUUUGAAGUGAUAGUGGUGUUUAUAUUUAUCAUUGUUUUAGGAAGUGUGUAGGAAUAAGGUAGCCUGCCUGCUUGUAAAAAAAUGUUUAGCUAGGAAUCAGUGUUGCUCUUGUUUGGAAAACCAACAUGUAAGCUUCUGGGUUUCUUAAUAAAGGCAAUAAUAUCAAGCUCUUUUGAGAUUGUGGCAUUGUCUAUCAUGUACCUUAUCUGCAAA
rnacentral:misc_RNA from 1 species